GCCGCAUCACCCCGGCUGGCCCUAAUGGCGUACUCGUAAUGCGUAGGUCUCGGGUUCGAAUCCCGAAGGCGGCUCCA
rnacentral:tRNA from 1 species